rnacentral:rRNA from 1 species
GACGAACGCUGGCGGCGUGCUUAACACAUGCAAGUCGAACGGUGAACCUCUUCGGGGGGGAUCAGUGGCGAACGGGUGAGUAACACGUGGGCAACCUGCCCCCGGCUCUGGGAUAACUCCAAGAAAUUGGGGCUAAUACCGGAUGUUCACCGCUUCCCGCAUGGGUGGUGGUGGAAAGGGUUUCCGGCUGGGGAUGGGCCCGCGGCCUAUCAGCUUGUUGGUGGGGUAGUGGCCUACCAAGGCGACGACGGGUAGCCGGCCUGAGAGGGUGACCGGCCACACUGGGACUGAGACACGGCCCAGACUCCUACGGGAGGCAGCAGUGGGGAAUAUUGCGCAAUGGGCGGAAGCCUGACGCAGCGACGCCGCGUGGGGGAUGACGGCCUUCGGGUUGUAAACCUCUUUCAGCAGGGACGAAGCGCAAGUGACGGUACCUGCAGAAGAAGCACCGGCCAACUACGUG